rnacentral:rRNA from 1 species
GACGAACGCUGGCGGCGUGCUUAACACAUGCAAGUCGAACGGAAAGGCCCUGCUUUUGUGGGGUGCUCGAGUGGCGAACGGGUGAGUAACACGUGAGUAACCUGCCCUUGACUUUGGGAUAACUUCAGGAAACUGGGGCUAAUACCGGAUAGGAGCUCCUGCUGCAUGGUGGGGGUUGGAAAGUUUCGGCGGUUGGGGAUGGACUCGCGGCUUAUCAGCUUGUUGGUGGGGUAGUGGCUUACCAAGGCUUUGACGGGUCGCCGGCCUGAGAGGGUGACCGGCCACAUUGGGACUGAGAGACGGCCCAGACUCCUACGGGAGGCAGCAGUGGGGAAUAUGGCACAAUGGGCGGAAGCCUGAGGCAGCAACGCCGCGUGCGGGAUGACGGCCUGCGGGGUGUAAACCGCUUUCGCCUGUGACGAAGCGGGAGUGACGGUAAUGGGUAAAGAAGCACCGGCUAACUACGUG